UUGUGAGUGUAAGGCGUGGUAGAAAAAGAACUAGUAAAAAAGAUACGACUGUCAUACUAACUGUGCUAUGCAUAUACAGACCUAACCUUACCUGAGGGUGUCAGGGAUCCCCAAAAUCGUCAUCCCUUGAUAACAAGGGCAUGUUCGGUUUUGUUGGAUCUGUAGUCACUGUCACUGUGUUGGAUUUGUAAUCACAGCAAAGCUGCAAAGACAGGGGUGCUUCGAAAACUUACCACGAAGGGAAAAAGUUUAGAAUAAAGCAUAACCUGUGUAGCUCAACGAAUCUGCAUGCACAGGUACGAUUGUGAAUGUGACAAAGUAAUAAAAUUUGCAGAUAGUGGAAGAGAGAAGAGAAAAUCUCUGGUACGGAGCGUGUUGCAUUAGAUAUUUUAUCAUUACUAUGGAACGUAAACAGGGUCAAACAAUUCGUAGUGAAGCCCGGAACAUAAUCCGGCGCGUAAUAGAAAAGUGUGACGAAGAAGCGCGUAAAGGCGAAAUGAUUUAUCUACUUAAGCAAGCAAAUCUCCGUGCUUCGUUUUAUACUGGAACAUCCAUUCCAACCAUUAGUCGUAUCCGAAAGGAGGAUUCCACGUAUAAAGAAGAUGAACCUCUACCAACACCGGGAACGAAACGCCCGAGAAGUGAGGAUAAAAAGUUUCACUGUUCACUCGAGGACCAGGCGGUAAUAAGAGGUGUUAUUCAUGAUUUCUACUUGGAAAAAAAAAUUAUGCCUACUGGUCCUAAAAUAUUAGCAGCGAUACGUAAAAAAAUCAACUUCCCAUGGGAAAUACAUAGUCUCCUUAAAUUACUAAAGCGCAUGGGUUAUGAAUGGAGGAAGACUAUUAAUAUUAAAAAGGUAUUAAUUGAAAAGCCAAAUUUUAUAGCUUGGAGAGCUAAAUAUCUGAAAGCAAUAGAAUAUUAUCGCAAGCAAAACAGACCUAUAAUUUACAUUAACGAAACAUGGGUAGACAACACCUUGUAUUUUCAUAAAUGUUGGGACGGUAAAGAAAGGGGAAUUAUGAAGAAUACAAAUUCAUCGAACCGUUUGGUUAUUAUUCACGCGGGAGGAAAGGAUGGUUUUAUAAAAGGGGCAGAACUGAUAUUCGAGUCUCGAACGACACCUAGUGACAUCCACGGACAAAUGAACCCGGCAAAUUUUGAAAUAUGGAUUACCGAAAAAUUAUUGCCUAACAUUCCUGCAAACUCCGUGGUAGUUAUGGAUAACGCCCCCUACCAUUCAGCUCGACUAAACGAACCGCCCUCGAAUUAUUCCAAGAAAGACGAUAUACUUCGAUGGCUGGUCGAAAAUAAUAUCCCGCAUACACAGAAUAUGAGGAAAUACCAAUUGCUUGAGCUGGUAAAUACACACAAGAAAUUAAAGAAAACGUUUAAAAUCGAUGAGAUACUAAAAGUACACGGGCACAAUGCCUUACGAUUACCAUCGAGUAUGCCUGACCUGAAUCCUAUCGAACUGGCUUGGUCCCAGGUAAAGAAGAAAUUAAGAGAGAAACAAAUAUUCGUUUCAUCGAGCAGUGAGCUGGAACGACACAUCAUGGUGGCAAUUAACGAAGUGACACAAAAAGAUUGGCAGAAUUUUUGUGAACACGUGGAGAAGCUUGAGGGAGACUACUGGCGAAAAGAUGGAUUAGUAGAAGAAAUAACAGAUAAUUUCGAACUACCAAGUGCUGAAUCGGAAAGUGAUUCUGAUGAGAGCACAGAUUCUGAAGAUUAAAAGGGGCAUUUUAAGGAAUAAUGGAUUCUAUGACCGGAAUGGAUUAUUUACUUAUAUGCAUAUGCAUAAUCUUUCACAGAAUAUUGAUUCUUUUAAUAAUUUAGAUUCCGUUUCUGCGGAUCCUGUAUUCUAAUAAUCCUAUAUUAAUUUAUAACUUUCAUUAUACAAAAUUAGAAAAUGGGAAACAAAACAUCCAAGCAAUCCCCGACAGAGGAACCCCCGGCGGAGGAGCGCCCGGCAGAGGAAUCCCCGGUGGAGGAGCGCCCGACAGAGGAACCUCCGGCGGAGGAACGCUCGGUAGAGGAACCGCCGGAGGUGGCAAGACCGGCCGUGGCCGAUAUUAAAGUACCAUUAUUGUUAAAUAUGUACAACUGUUAGUGACAAGUGUAUAGUGUAUAAAAGUAAAGAGCCCCAAAGGAGGAGAAAAAAUCGCAACAUCAAAAAACUGAAGAAGCUGUUGAGAACGAUGCUACCAGCCGUCUCAGGAUAUCCGGGGGGGUAUGUAUCCCCCCCACCCCCCAACACACAUCGCCACCGCGGCCCGAGAUGUACGCAGCUCCAAUGCUGUGUAUCUCCCAGCCGCCAGUUAUGUACAUACCACGGCCAGUAAACCAUAAUAUAUGUACCCCCGCAAUCCCCAAUAUGUGUCCACCCGCAACCGGCAAUGUACAGGGUGAUCCUCUCGCUAGGGGACACAAAGGAACACUGGAGAUAAUGGACCCCUUGACCACACCAUAAAGAGGUCCGUAUUGGGGACCUACUCGGGCCGAGACGACUCUGUGUGCCUUCAUGGUGCGGUCAAGGAAUUCAUUGUCGCCAGUUCCUUUGUGCCCCCUAGCGAGAGGAUCACCCUGUAUGUACGGCAACCGACGCCGUAUCAGUAUUAUUAAAUUAAAAAUUUUAUUACAAUACAUUUCUUUUCGACACCUGUUA